rnacentral:rRNA from 1 species
UGGCCUACGGGGCGCAGCAGUGGGGGAUAUUGCACAAUGGGGGAAACCCUGAUGCAGCGACGCCGCGUGGGCGAAGAAGUAUUUCGGUAUGUAAAGCCCUAUCGGCAGGGAAGAAACAGACGGUACCUGACUAAGAAGCCCCGGCUAACUACGUGCCAGCAGCCGCGGUAAUACGUAGGGGGCAAGCGUUAUCCGGAUUCACUGGGUGUAAAGGGAGCGUAGACGGCGACGCAAGUCUGGAGUGAAAGCCCGGGGCCCAACCCCGGGACUGCUCUGGAAACUGCGUCGCUGGAGUACGGGAGGGG